GACGAACGCUGGCGGCGUGCUUAACACAUGCAAGUCGAACGGAAAGGCCUGCUUUCCCUUGUGGAUUGCGGGUACUCGAGUGGCGAACGGGUGAGUAACACGUGAGUGAUCUGCCCCCAACUUGGGUAUAAGCCUGGGAAACUGGGUCUAAUUCCCGAUAGGACUGCAGGGUGGUGCCUGUGGUGGAAAACGAUUUUCUAGUGGUUGGGGAUGAGCUCGCAGCCUAUCAGCUUGUUGGUGGGGUAAUGGCCUACCAAGGCGGCGACGGGUAGCCGGCCUGAGAGGGUGGACGGCCACAGUGGGACUGAGAUACGGCCCAGACUCCUACGGGAGGCAGCAGUGGGGAAUAUUGCACAAUGGGCGGAAGCCUGAUGCAGCGACGCCGCGUGGGGGAUGACGGCCUUCGGGUUGUAAACUCCUUUCGACCGCGAGGAAGCCACCUGGUUGGAAGGGUGGUGACGGUAGUGGUAGAAGAAGCACCGGCUAACUACGUG
rnacentral:rRNA from 1 species